rnacentral:rRNA from 1 species
CACGUAGGGCGCAAGCGUUGUCCGGAAUUAUUGGGCGUAAAGAGCGUGUAGGCGGCCAGACAGGUCCGUUGUGAAAACUCGAGGCUCAACCUCGAGAUGUCGAUGGAAACCGUCUGGCUAGAGUCCGGAAGAGGAGUGUGGAAUUCCUGGUGUAGCGGUGAAAUGCGCAGAUAUCAGGAGGAACACCGGUGGCGAAGGCGGGUCUCUGGGCCGUAACUGACGCUGAGGCGCGAAAGCGUGGGGAGCAAACGGG